rnacentral:rRNA from 1 species
AUUGAACGCUGGCGGCAGGCUUAACACAUGCAAGUCGAGCGGAGAUGAGGUGCUUGCACCUUAUCUUAGCGGCGGACGGGUGAGUAAUGCUUAGGAAUCUGCCUAUUAGUGGGGGACAACAUUCCGAAAGGAAUGCUAAUACCGCAUACGCCCUACGAGGGAAAGCAGGGGAUCUUCGGACCUUGCGCUAAUAGAUGAGCCUAAGUCGGAUUAGCUAGUUGGUGGGGUAAAGGCCUACCAAGGCGACGAUCUGUAGCGGGUCUGAGAGGAUGAUCCGCCACACUGGGACUGAGACACGGCCCAGACUCCUACGGGAGGCAGCAGUGGGGAAUAUUGGACAAUGGGCGGAAGCCUGAUCCAGCCAUGCCGCGUGUGUGAAGAAGGCCUUUUGGUUGUAAAGCACUUUAAGCGAGGAGGAGGCUACCUGGAUUAAUACUCUAGGAUAGUGGACGUUACUCGCAGAAUAAGCACCGGCUAACUCUGUGCCAGCCAGCCGCCGCCGUA